CGCAAUGGGCGAAAGCCUGACGGAGCGACGCCGCGUGAUUGAUGAAGUCCUUCGGGACGUAAAGAUCUUUUAUGCGUGAGAAAGUUAUUGAUAGUAGCGCAUGAAUAAGGGGCUCCUAACUCUGUGCCAGCAGGAGCGGUAAUACAGAGGCCCCGAGCAUUAUCCGGAAUCACUGGGCGUAAAGGGUGUGUAGGCGGUUAUGUUAGUCUUUUGUGAAAGAUCCCGGGCCUAACCCGGGAGACGCAGGGGAAACGGCAUAACUUUGAGGGUAUGAGAGGUAAAGGGAACUCAUGGUGUAGGGGUGAAAUCCGUUGAUAUCAUGGGGAACACCAAAUGCGAAGGCACUUUACUGGCAUACUCCUGACGCUGAAACACGAAAGCGU
rnacentral:rRNA from 1 species